rnacentral:rRNA from 1 species
GAUGAACGCUGGCGGCGUGCUUAACACAUGCAAGUCGAACGAAGCAAUUUAGCGGAAGUUUUCGGAUGGAAGCUAAAUUGACUGAGUGGCGGACGGGUGAGUAACGCGUGGGUAACCUGCCUCACACUGGGGGACAACAGUUAGAAAUGACUGCUAAUAUCGCAUAAGCGCACAGGGCCGCAUGGUCCGGUGUGAAAAACUCCGGUGGUGUGAGAUGGACCCGCGUUUGUUUAGCUGGUUGGUGGGGUAACGGCCUACCAAGGCGACGAUCAAUAGCCGACGUGAGAGGGUGACCGGCCACAUUGGGACUGAGACACGGCCCAAACUCCUACGGGAGGCAGCAGUGGGGAAUAUUGCACAAUGGGGGAAACCCUGAUGCAGCGACGCCGCGUGAGUGAAGAAGUAUUUCGGUAUGUAAAGCUCUAUCAGCAGGGAAGAAAAUGACGGUACCUGACUAAGAAGCCCCGGCUAACUACGUGCCAGCCGCCGCGGUAA